GCCCCGCGGCCUCCGCUGUGCAGAGACCYGACCCACCCCCACCGCGAUCGCCUCCCCUCCGUUCCCUGCUGGGACUCGGCGAGAUCCUGAGCAUCGCGGGCGCAGGGCUCAGCCCCGGGGUGGAGCUGGCGGGGGCGGAGAGGAGAGCCCAUAGGAGUGGAGGAGUGGGAGAGGAGGCGGCACGGCCGGAGCAGAGAGCCGGGGCUGGCGGGGACAGCGAUGCUCGGGCGGCGGAGCGGCGGGAUGCGGCGGGGUCGGGGCGCGGGGCUGGCGGCGCUGGCCGCGGUGCUGCUCGUGGCUGUGGCCCGAGCCCAGAUAGAGCAACAGCCGCGGCUGGAGACCACCGAGGGCACCGGCAUCAACAUCAGCUGCUCACACCGAAAUAUCCAAACUAAUGACUACAUCCACUGGUACCGACUGCUCCCGGGCCAGGGCCACGAAUUCCUCAUGAGCGCUCACAAAGGACUCAGAGGGCUGCCGGACAGUGAGGGCCAUCUGUGGGUGUCGGAAGAUCGCAAAUCCAGCGCUCUGUACCUCGCUCGGCCCCGGCGCGGGGACGCGGCCGUGUAUUACUGCGCGCUGGGUGACACGGGCACAGGAGCCGCGGCUGCGGCCGAGCACGAACCGCCGUGGGCGGGGACAGCAGGAGACAACAGGGGACAACAGGGGACAACAGGGGACAACAGGGGACAACAGGGGACAACAGGGGGCGCUGCCGCUCCGCUCGCCAGCGGUCGGGGAAAAGCCCCGAGCAACAGCUUCCCAAG